GGGAGAGAGAGCCUGGCCGCCGCGAUGGUCACGCCGGCGACGGCGCGACCACUCAACGCGGGCCACCCCUCCGGGGUGCCCCGCGCCCGCGAGGAAAGUCCCCCCACCCGUUCGGGCAGGUGACCGGACACAAGUCCGGAGCGGGAGACCGCUGGCUCUGGAACAGAAACGACACGUCUCGGCCCGACCGAUGAUGCGUGCGAACCCGACCGAGAGGAAGGGGAGUCAACCCGCAGAGGGAGUGUCGUCGACCGAUCAUGGUUCGAACCCAUGGGUCACGCGUGGCGUGAUCGACCACACAGAGACGGCCGAGGAUCGAUGGAACGGCGAACCCUCACCGGUGCAAGUCCGCGCCGUGGUAGCCCGAACGCCCCGCGGUCUCGCCGCGGACGGCGCGGACGCUCAGCCGAAUGCCGGGUCGAACAGAAGGGGGCUUACUCCUCUCACCC
rnacentral:RNase_P_RNA from 2 species